GUCCUGCUGUGGACCACAGAGCCGAGGUUCUCCCACCCUGUGAAUACAGGCGUCCAGCGCUUUGAACAACUGAAUCUCGGGGGUCUUGGCCCUCGGUCUCCCACCGCUUUGGGAGUUCCCUGCGUUCUAGAAGUCUGAGGAGUUACUUCACACAGCAGAAAGACGGACGACGUCCGCCGUGGGAAUUACGAGGGUACAAGUUAAUGAUUCUGAUAACACUGUACUGGAAUCCUGGAAUUGAACAAUUAAGUAAAUGGAUGGCAGGAACAAGGUUUCUCACAGGUAGAGUGGGAAUUUACAGAAAAGGAAGAGACUAGAAGAGAUUAGAAUUGGAAAUAUCAGGAACCAGGGCUCCUUGGAAAAAUGGCUUACUACAGGACUGGAGCAGGAAAUAUACAAGAUGAGUCUGGAGCACCUUUACCACUGGAAAGGAAGGAAGUACUCUAAAAACACGAAACAAAACACGGCAUCAAUGGGAGUAUGUCAAAGGAGCCAACUGAAAGC